rnacentral:rRNA from 1 species
UACAGAGGGGGCAAGCGUUGUUCGGAAUUACUGGGCGUAAAGGGCGCGUAGGUGGCCUUCUAAGUUGAACGUGAAAUCCCUGGGCUCAACCCAGGAACUGCGUCCAAGACUGGGAGGCUUGAAUCCGGGAGAGGGAUGCGGAAUUCCAGGUGGUAGCGGUGAAAUGCGUAGAUAUCUGGAGGAACACCGGUGGCGAAGGCGGCAUCCUGGACCAACACUGGACGCUGAGGGAGCGAAAGCCAGGGGAGCAAAGCGGG